GUUUCCUCACAAAUUUUUCUCUAAUUUUUCUUGUUCUUCUCUGUACCUCUGUCAACCCUCAACUCACUGCAUCUUUCCAAAAAGAUUUAUAUAUCAGACAAAAGGAACAAAAGACCAAACACAGAAUCCUGCAUAAAGCAUAUAUGCCAACUAGUUGGAAAGCUAACCAUAUGAAUGUGUUUGAGCAUCACUCUUAUUUAGAUUAAUUGUUGUUUAAGAUCAUGCUAAGUUCAUUAAGGUUGAAACUAAGUGUGAUUAGUGGUCAAGCCUAAGUUCAUUUCUAGUCAAGGUUGAUGUUAGAUUUUUAAAGGUCCAAAAGAUUCAAACUCCACAUGAGUUUAAGUCUUAGGUGUAAGGAGGCCUUCACUACUCCCAUAUGAGUUUUGAAAAUGCUUAUAGUUUUGUCUUAUAGUUUAAAGCGAGAGGCAUGGAGGAAAAUGCUUUACUGUUAAGUUGUGGAAUUUUAGACUGAAAUGUAUUCAUUUAAUACCUUGUUCUGCAAUUUUGCUUUCUUUUAUCAUUUGGAGCUUUAAUAUUAGACUGAAAUGUAUUCAUUUAAUACCUAUGUAAAGUUUGAAAUUUUAAGUAUGCAAUUGCUGAACUGAAUAUACUUAAAUUUGUUGAGGAUAUGGACUGCUACUGGUUGAAAUAAUAGGGAAUUAUGAGAGGUUAAAUGCCAACUUUGGCCUUUGUCCAAAUGCUGGACUUUCAGCAUUUAAUUUCCCUGUUUAAAGAUGUUUAAACUUGUUAAAAAUGCAACAAUUGCAUAUGUUAUUUAUUUAAUUAAAUAAAUAAUACUGAGUUCUUUA